rnacentral:rRNA from 1 species
CUGGUGCCUUCGGGAACUUUGAGACAGGUGCUGCAUGGCUGUCGUCAGCUCGUGUUGUGAAAUGUUGGGUUAAGUCCCGCAACGAGCGCAACCCUUAUCCUUUGUUGCCAGCGGUCCGGCCGGGAACUCAAAGGAGACUGCCAGUGAUAAACUGGAGGAAGGUGGGGAUGACGUCAAGUCAUCAUGGCCCUUACGAGUAGGGCUACACACGUGCUACAAUGGCGCAUACAAAGAGAAGCGACCUCGCGAGAGCAAGCGGACCUCAUAAAGUGCGUCGUAGUCCGGAUUGGAGUCUGCAACUCGACUCCAUGAAGUCGGAAUCGCUAGUAAUCGUGGAUCAGAAUGCCACGGUAWURGCGU